rnacentral:rRNA from 1 species
GGUUCGGCCGGAUUUCACACAGGUGUUGCAUGGCUGUCGUCAGCUCGUGUCGUGAGAUGUUGGGUUAACGUCCCGCAACGAGCGUAACCCUCAUCCUUAGUUGCCAUCAGGUAAUGCUGAGCACUUUAAGGAAACUGCUAGUGAUAAACUGGAGGAAGGUGGGGAUGAUGUCAAGUCAUCAUGGCCCUUAUGGAGUGGGCUACACACGUGCUACAAUGGUGGCUACAAUGGGCUGCAAAGUCGCGAGGCCAAGCUAAUCCCUUAAAAGCCAUCUCAGUUCGGAUUGUACUCUGCAACUCGAGUGCAUGAAGUUGGAAUCGCUAGUAAUCGUGGAUCAGCAUGCCACGGUGAAUACGUUCUCGGGUCUUGUACACACUGCCCGUCACGCCAUGGGAAUUGGUUUCACUCGAAGCUAAUGACCUAACCGCAAGGAGGGAGUUAUUUAAAGUGGGAUCAGUGACUGGGGUGAAGUCGUAACAAGGUAAGCGUAGUGCU